GACGAACGCUGGCGGCGUGCUUAACACAUGCAAGUCGAACGAAGAGCGAUGGAAGCUUGCUUCUAUCAAUCUUAGUGGCGAACGGGUGAGCAACGCGUAAUCAACCUGCCCUUCAGAGGGGGACAACAGUUGGAAACGACUGCUAAUACCGCAUACGAUCUAAUCUCGGCAUCGAGGAUAGAUGAAAGGUGGCCUCUACACGUAAGCUAUCACUGAAGGAGGUGAUUGCGUCUGAUUUGCUAGUUGGGGGGGUAACGGCCUACCAAGGCGAUGAUCAGUAGCCGGGCUGAGGAGAUGAACGGCCACAGUGGGAAGGGGACACGGCCCAAAAUCCUACGGGAGGCAGCAGGGGGGAAUCUUCCGCAAAGGGCGGAAGUCUGGCGGAGCAACGGCGCGUGAGUGAGGACGGGCUUCGGGUUGUAAAGGUCUGUUAAUCGGGACGAAAGGCCUUCUUGCGAAUAGGGAGAAGGAUUGACGGUACCGGAAGAAAAAGCCACGGCUAACUACGUG
rnacentral:rRNA from 1 species